CUUGGCGGUAAUAGCGCGGUGGUCCCACCUGACCCCAUGCCGAACUCAGAAGUGAAACGCCGUAGCGCCGAUGGUAGUGUGGGGUCUCCCCAUGCGAGAGUAGGACACUGCCAAGC
rnacentral:rRNA from 1 species